rnacentral:rRNA from 1 species
AUUGAACGCUGGCGGCAUGCCUUACACAUGCAAGUCGAACGGCAGCACGGGAGCAAUCCUGGUGGCGAGUGGCGAACGGGUGAGUAAUACAUCGGAACGUGCCCGAUCGUGGGGGAUAACGGAGCGAAAGCUUUGCUAAUACCGCAUACGAUCUACGGAUGAAAGCAGGGGACCGCAAGGCCUUGCGCGGACGGAGCGGCCGAUGGCAGAUUAGGUAGUUGGUGGGAUAAAAGCUUACCAAGCCGACGAUCUGUAGCUGGUCUGAGAGGACGACCAGCCACACGGGGACUGAGACGCGGCCCAGACUCCUACGGGAGGCAGCAGUGGGGAAUUUUGGACAAUGGGCGCAAGCCUGAUCCAGCCAUGCCGCGUGCAGGAUGAAGGCCUUCGGGUUGUAAACUGCUUUUGUACGGAACGAAACGGCUCUUUCUAAUAAAGAGGGCUAAUGACGGUACCGUAAGAAUAAGCACCGGCUAACUACGUGCCAGCAGCCGCCGUAA